AUUGAACGCUGGCGGCAGGCCUAACACAUGCAAGUCGAACGGUAACAGGAAGCAGCUUGCUGCUUUGCUGACGAGUGGCGGACGGGUGAGUAAUGUCUGGGAAACUGCCUGAUGGAGGGGGAUAACUACUGGAAACGGUAGCUAAUACCGCAUAACGUCGCAAGACCAAAGAGGGGGACCUUCGGGCCUCUUGCCAUCGGAUGUGCCCAGAUGGGAUUAGCUAGUAGGUGGGGUAACGGCUCACCUAGGCGACGAUCCCUAGCUGGUCUGAGAGGAUGACCAGCCACACUGGAACUGAGACACGGUCCAGACUCCUACGGGAGGCAGCAGUGGGGAAUAUUACACAAUGGGCGCAAGCCUGAUGCAGCCAUGCCGCGUGUAUGAAGAAGGCCUUCGGGUUGUAAAGUACUUUCAGCGGGGAGGAAGGGAGUAAAGUUAAUACCUUUGCUCAUUGACGUUACCCGCAGAAGAAGCACCGGCUAACUCCGUG
rnacentral:rRNA from 1 species